GGAAGCAGAGCUCAGAGGGACUGGCAACAGGCACAAGUGAAGUUUACUUGCCAAUCUUCACUGAAAUCACAUUUGAAAAGUCAUGGUUUUCUUUCUUUGUUUUGUUGUGAUUUUCUGUUUUAUUGUAAAGAAGAUUGUAGAAACGAGGCAGAAAAGGAAGGCCGGGAAACAAAAAAAGGGUAUCUAAACAACAGAGUACAAAGAUUGGACUCUCUGGAGCUCAUCCCUUCAGAGAGUCAUUCCUGAAAGCCCUGUAUCUCCUAUCUCCACUACCUCGAUUCUCUGGGAUAAAUUACAACUUUAUGAUUCAUGAAUCCAAAAAGGACAGUCUUUUCAUCCAUCCAUUUUAUAAAUGACAUGGCUCCUAAGGAACAGCAAAACCUGAAGCAAAUUACGGCAACAAGCAUUUGUCAACCACGCACAUGAAGCCACUCUUUGUACGUAUUAUGCAUCUCAAUCUCUAUAUAUGGUUAUCAACAUAAUAAUUCAAGUAAAGAGUUUUCUACACCAGAAGUUCCAACAUCAAGCUACAUUCAAAGAGAGAAACAACACAUUCGAUACACAAGUUAUGAAGAGUCGGAAAUUCCUCAUAAGAUAGAACAUGUGCAAUUGAAUUCCAACUAUUAGGUUUUCUGUGGAAAAAAACAUAUGUGUGUGCAUAUAUAUGGCCAUCUGAUCAUUUUAAAAGCAUACUCAGAAUACAUUAAAAAAACACCAUGAGUAUGAAUUA